UUCGCAAUGCCCGAAAGGGUGACGAAGCGACGCCGCGUGCAGGAAGAAGGCCUUCGGGUUGUAAACCGCUGUCGGGAGUUAGGAAGUGCAAGGAUGUUAAUAGCGUUCUUGCUUGACUAAGGCUCCGGAGGAAGCCACGGCUAACUCUGUGCCAGCAGCCGCGGUAAUACAGAGGCGGCAAGCGUUGUUCGGAAUUAUUGGGCGUAAAGAGCACGUAGGCGGCUGUGUAAGUCGGUUGUGAAAGCCUUCCGCUUAACGGAAGAACGGCAUCCGAUACUGCAUAGCUUGAGUGCGGGAGGGGAGAGUGGAACUUCUGGUGGAGCGGUGAAAUGCGUAGAUAUCAGAAGGAACACCGGCGGCGAAGGCGACUCUCUGGUCCGUAACUGACGCUGAGUGUGCGAAAGCUAGGGGAGCAAACGGGAUUAGAUACCCCGGUAGUCCUAGCCGUAAACGAUGGGCACUAAGUAGAGGGGUUUU
rnacentral:rRNA from 1 species